rnacentral:rRNA from 1 species
UACAGAGGUGGCAAGCGUUGUUCGGAAUUACUGGGCGUAAAGGGCGCGUAGGCGGUUCGUUAAGUCCUGUGUGAAAUCCCCCGGCUCAACUGGGGAACUGCACAGGAAACUAGCGGGCUUGAGUUCGGGAGAGGGAAGCGGAAUUCCGGGUGUAGCGGUGAAAUGCGUAGAUAUCCGGAGGAACACCGGUGGCGAAGGCGGCUCCCUGGACAGACACUGACGCUGAGGCGCGAAAGCUAGGGGAGCAAACGGG